UGGGGAAUAUUGCACAAUGGGGGAAACCCUGAUGCAGCGACGCCGCGUGAACGAAGAAGGUAUACGUAUCGUAAAGUUCUGUCCUAUGGGAAGAUAAUGACAGUACCAUAGAAGAAAGCUCCGGCUAAAUACGUGCCAGCAGCCGCGGUAAUACGUAUGGAGCGAGCGUUGUCCGGAAUUAUUGGGCGUAAAGGGUACGCAGGCGGUUUAAUAAGUCGAAUGUUAAAGAUCGGGGCUCAACCCCGUAAAGCAUUGGAAACUGAUAAACUUGAGUAGUGGAGAGGAAAGUGGAAUUCCUAGUGUAGUGGUGAAAUACGUAGAUAUUAGGAGGAAUACCAGUAGCGAAGGCGACUUUCUGGACACAAACUGACGCUGAGGUACGAAAGCGUGGGGAGCAAACAGG
rnacentral:rRNA from 1 species